CAGCACCUCAAGUGGUCAGGAUGAUUAUUGGGCCUAAAGCAUCCGUAGCCGGCUCUGUAAGUUUUCGGUUAAAUCUGUAUGCUCAACAUACAGGCUGCCGGGAAUACUGCAGAGCUAGGGAGUGGGAGAGGUAGACGGUACUCGGUAGGAAGGGGUAAAAUCCUUUGAUCUAUUGAUGACCACCUGUGGCGAAGGCGGUCUACCAGAACACGUCCGACGGUGAGGGAUGAAAGCUGGGGGAGCAAACCGGAUUAGAUAUCCGAGUAGUCC
rnacentral:rRNA from 1 species